CACCCCUAGAUCUAGGAGGCAGCUGGAAGCCCAGCUCAAGGAGGCAAGAGGUUCCCCCUGGCUGGUUGCUCUAAUUGGCCAGUGAUCUCUGCCUGUUGAAUUGGCUUUAGAGUCUCCCAGGACAGCCCCUCCCCUUUGCCUCUCCCCAACUCCAGGAGCCUGGCUGUCUCUAGUGAAGAGUGGAGAUUCAGAUUCAGAGGGAGGGAAGGUCUGACCUGUGUGGUGACCUGUAACCAGCUGAAGGCAGCAGGGCUUUUGUGGUGUGCUGAGGAUGGGGGUGGGAGAGGGGCUGGGAAACUCAGUGUCGAAAUAGCCUAGAGGAACAGAAGCCCCAUAUUCAGGGGCUGAACUGAUCUCCUAAUUCACAAUCCCCAGGGGCAUUUCUAAAAGCCAGUGAACAGAUCUGGAGGGGAACGUCCCCCCAGUCCAGUCACUGACUCCCCCGGGGAGGCUGGGGUGGUACACAGGAGGGUGGGGGGUGGGCACUGUGCCUGGCCCUGUCUCUCUGUUUCAAAGUUUGGCUGUGCUGUUCAGUUGUCCCCAGUGGCCUUGUCUUGCUUAAUCAGAGGUGGAAAAAGAUCACCUCCCGGUGACCUCCUUCAGGCCCCAGGGGAUGGGCUGUGUCCAGAGCUGUGUGGCAGAGCUUGUCUCCAGGGUCCAGAGAGGCCCAGCUGGCCUGCCUUGCUGCCCCAGCCACGAAACCCAAGCCCAACCUCAAGCAUGGCAGGGAGUGGGUGUUGGGGACAGUCUAGCCAAGGCCUCUGUCUGCCCCAAGCUUUCCAGGAACUAAGUAGUGAAGUCACUGUGACCGUCCUGGUCAGUGAGGAGAAUAUUCUGGUGAGAGCUUCCGUUUCUGGGAACUUGAGAGGGAGUGGGUACGGGUGCAUGGAGUAGCAAAAGACCCCAGCCUUCGUGGCUCUGCAGGAUGUGGGGGAAUCAGUACUGUGGCCACCAUUCCCCCAGUGGAGCAAACUGGCUCUGUGAAUAUAAGACUUGUGGAGGCAGGCUAUCCUGGCCUCAUACCCUGGCUGGACCCAGAGGGACACAGGGUGGAGCCACAGGCAUUUAAACUUUCUCUGGCUCCCUGUGGGCUGCAGGCCUAGGGGACAGAGCCUCACGGGAACAGCAGAACAAAGCUGGUCUCUUCCAUAAGUGCCCAGCUUUGGCCAAGGUGCUAUGAGAUACGUGGCCCCCAGCUUGCACUGCCCCUCUCUCUACAGCUGUCUGUCUCUACCCCUUCUCUGGGUCCACAGCAAGUGACAUGGGGAGACCCAGUGAGAUGUAGCAUUUCCUCCAUCCCCAGUUCAGUUGGCAUGGGGUCUGGGCAUUUCUGCCUUAAGGAAAGGAAUGGGGACUGUUAUGUUUUAACCUGUAUAUAAUAUUUGACUGUUUUGGUUCUUUAUUUGUAUACAUGUGUAAAUACCCUCUCACCCAUCAAGUGGUACCGUUUUUAAUAAAACCAUUUAAAUCAG
rnacentral:lncRNA from 1 species